AAAGAAAGAAAGAAAGAAAGAAAGAAAGAAAGAAAGAAAGAAAGAAAGAAAGAAAGAAAGAAAGAAAGAAAGAAAGAAAGAAAGAAAGAAAACACAACAACAACAACAACAACAACAAAACAACAAUCUGGUGUCAUUGUAGUCCGCUCGCUGUGAACUUCUGCUACUGUGGUUCAAAAGGAAAUGGAGCUAUUGGAGCGAAUUCAAAGACUGAAGUGUUUCAGGAGGAGGGGAGUGUCUCAAGAUGCAAGCCAUACACACAUUCAGCAGAUCAAAGGAAAGGACAGAAGGUAGCACUACACUUAAAUAUGGCAAAGCAAACUGAUCGUGGGGGGCUUUUAAUCAUACAUGGAGGCAUGAAGAUCCAGUUGCCAUUAAUUUCUGUUGUUUGAGUGUUAGGAGUAAUAAAAUAUUUGAACAAUUGACUGGGGGAAGUGGUAGAGUAGAAAUAUUCUAUGGGUCUUACAUAUCUCUUCUAACCACAUGCUAUGAUCCAGAAUAUGAAAAAAAUGAUACGUCUGUUGUACAGAGUAGGUGAUAACAGGCACUGGUUGGCCAAAGGGAAUGACAGGCUACUGGUAGGCUGUACCAGGGAAUAGCUGUCUUCAGCAUAGGGCUCUGAGCCUUCUCAGUGGCUUCUUCCUUCAUGCAGUGGGGGCUGGACAUCUCUUUCUUAGGACUUCGUAGUCCUGCCAUCCUUACUGUACUUCAGUUCCUCAGCUCUGUUGAGUCCAAAAGGUCAGUGGCCAUGGUAAUAAUGGUCUUUCUCUUUCCGUAGUGCAAAAAUUUCCAGAAUGCCUAUGGCUAUUAGUUGAAAAUUUGAAGUCAGCAUUUUCCUUUAACUCCUUUCUUUCCGUCAUCAAAAAAAGUUAACAGUAGACUGCGGUGGUAUUGUAAGCCACGGUUUUCUCUGUGAAAGAGAGUUACUGCAUGCCUCUCAAUAGUGUUUCCUUGGCUUCAUAUUCUAUUGAUAUCAUUGUUCCUAGAAACCAUGCUAAGCUCAUGUUCCUGAUUCUGGUUCCCACAUGUCCACCUCUCGCAUAGGGACACUUUUUUCUUCCUGUUGGAAUGAGUUACUUCUUUUUGGAACUUUAAUGAAUCUUCUUCAGUGUCAUUCUUCUGGUUGUGUAGCUCUUCUGAUGGUCACCUCAACAUAUCUGACAGGGCCAACGUGCUCUGAGCUGGCCAACCUCCAAACCCACUUUUGGAGACUUCCUUCCCUGCAUCUGGGUGGCCUUCUGCCCUCCACCAGCAACAGCACCCAGGCAUAGCUUCAUCUGCAGGAGCACAGGAUCCUUUGGUCUCCUCUUCUAGAUAUAACAGUGUCCACCUGUUGUAACCUGCACAGGGAUGGACAAUCUCUUCCUUCCCUGAGUGGUUACUGAACUCAUUUUCCUCUGCCUGUAACCAAAAGCCGGUUUUUGCACAAGGAGGGUGGUAGUGAGUGAAACACGCUCAGCCCGCUACCCACUGUAAGCGUACUGAAACACUUGGACAGCCACUGCUGUAGUGGCCUGGGAAGGACAGUGGAGCAGUGGCAGCUCUCAAAGGCAGCUCUCAUGAGCACUUUUAUUCCAAUGACAGUAUAUCUCUUUUUUGUGCCUCUGCCUUCAUAUCUUGGACUGUGGACAGGCUCUGGAGAAGGUAUGCUGUGAUUUUUAGAAGAAAAUGACUGCUCAGAACAACACUGCAAGGCACAGUAUUUGCACCACUACUUGGAUGUCGGUGUUCUUUGCUUGUUUUUAGUCAGUGGCAAAUAGCUAGUGUAAAUACCUGUUGGUGUUAUAAUUUAAAAACAAUUAUUUCUCAUAAAUUGGGAGUUUGAAUGUUGGAAUAAAGUCUCACACUAGGACGGAUUUGGCAAAUAGAUUACGGUCUUUUUUUUUGUUAUGGCAUGGCUGUGCACAACACUAAGGCAGCUUCCUUUGCUAUCAUCGCUGGCUUGGGUUGUGGAUAAUGCAUUGCUUCUGUUUGGGUGCUUAUUCAAGCGCUGCUACUGCAAAGGUUUUUGUUUUAAACUUUUUAACUUAGGUUUAAAAAAAAAAAAGUUCUCUGCAUCAGGAGAGUCCAUCCUGUCAAACACUUGGUUUUGUUCUCUUCUUAAUUCUAGCAGGUUUUGUUUUCCAAAUUACUGAAAGCAUUAGAAUCACUCUUUGUUUAGCACUGUAUAUUCCGUGUAAGCCUUUUUCUGCUAUAGAAGGCAACUGUGCAAUUGCUGAACCCACUGCUGGGUAUGGUCAGUAUCCCUUUGAAGGAAUGCAGAUCAUAUGCUCCAUUUACGGAAGCAUCUGAGCUGCUGCUACAGCAAGAAACUAUCGCUUAAUGUGGGCCAUCAGAUCAGUCUACACUAUGGUCUGCUCACAAAAAAAAUAAAAACAGCAGAAAAAGGACGUGAUAAAGGCUUAUUUCCCUAGAUUCCUCAUUCUUUUCUGCCAGGUGAUAUAUUUAUUUUUAAGUAUCUCUGUUUGUGCCAACAGAUUUUUUUUUUUCUUAAGCAAGUGCUGAGAAAUUGCUCUUCCUCUCCAAGGACGCUCCUCUGUGACCUACUGUAGCAUAACCAGCUAAACUUAAUCUCUGCUUUGUUCAACACUUGAAAGGAUCCAUUCACAGAAUUGUUCAGGGAGCCUGGACUGAGAUUUUUCAGCUGCCCCAAGUGAAAUUGGGGAAUCAGUAAGAGAACAAGUACUUGAACAAGGUGGUACACAGAUGAGUCUGGUGGUUUGGAAGAAGCAGCCUGAAGCUAUAGCAAAAAUGACUAACCUUUGCUAUUGAAACUAAGUAUUCUUCUGAGGAGUCUGCAGCCAGCUGCCACAUCAUUGUCACCUAAACCGCAAAUUGGUGCAGUGGCUGUAUUGUUAGGCUGUAUGUUACAACGUAUUGAAUCUGAUCAAGAACAUGGUUUCCUGUUUGUAGUUCAGGGGCAUUGCUGUGUAAUGCAAGUCAGCUGUGUUUCUGUUUCUGCAGUAAGUGCCUGUAGAGCUCUACAUGUCUUAAAAUCUAUAGAAAAAAAUAUAGAGGAAUGAAGAAACUCUGUCUCACUGUCAUACCUGAGAUUAUUAGAGAUGCCUGUGGAUAGUAACUACAAAAACAGAAGGAGGAACUGAUUGAAAAGCAACACAUGUAAUUAUAUUUUUUGCCUGUCUCACCUCCCUUUUCUUAUCUGUACCCAAAUCUAGCAGGCUGCAGGAUGAGUUGCAAAUCAUUGCAUUUAAGAUGAUACUUGCAAAUGAUGGAAGGAAAUGUGAGUUCUUAUGCUGUUUGACUUGACAGCAAAUGAAUGCUGCUCCAUGUAAGAACCUGCUAAUUCAUAUCAAGAAGUAUAUAAAUAAGCAAGUCUUUAAUAGUAGCACAAAUGAAGGAAGAAAAAAUAUUUUUCAGCAAUAAUUCCACUUUUCUUUUUUUUUGAGGAAAAAAAAAAAGAAUUUAUUCAAAUAUUCUUUUUAUUUACAAAGUAAGUUACAUUCUCCACGUGAUUAUGCAGUUUGGAAAACAGAUCUGUACAUACAUGUGGAAAAUACUUUUCUUAUAAUGAAUGCAUCUAUUCAAGCACUUUUUCACAGCAUCGCUGAUGGAUCUUAUUUUACUUUUUUUAUUGAUUUUGACCAUUCCCAUGAGAUGAUUUUCAUUAGUCUUUUUUUUUUUUUUUUAAAAAAAUACUGUAUUUGAGAGAAUCCUAGGUUCUGAAAUCAGAGUAGUUUCAAACAUAAACUAAUGAGGUCAUUUUCUUGCAUAAAAUACAUGUUUUUUUAUUUUUGUUGGAACGGUAUUACCUUACUAUGUAAUGGAUGUAAAAUGUAUCUCCUGAGUCAGUGUUCCUAUAACAUAACCCAUUCUCCCUUUUCUGAAUUUGGUUACUUCUUCCUAAUAGGACUACAUUGCAUCUCUGGUGAUGUUUCUGCUUAUUUCAGGUGACUUCUUAAUUUAUCAGCAUGAUUCUGUAUUUAUAGUGACUAGACUUUUGCUCUUUUCCAUUUCAAACUAUUUCAGUAAGAAUCUAUUUUUUCUAUGCCACCUCACAGUUAAUAAAUACAUUGAGAAGUCUGUUUUAGGAAUGGAUUCUAGUAGAAUACAUUUCUAGAACUCCUUUAAGUUAAUACUAACACUAGUGCAUUUCUUCUUUCCACAAAGUUUGUUUCCUUAUCAGACAAAGCAAGUUUAGUUAGUUGCACUUGAUUUCUGAUGAUGAAGUUGACUACUACUUAAUUAUUAUCUUACCGGUGCUUGAAAUUCUCACUGUAAGUUUAGUGUUUCAUAAGAAAUACAGAACUGUAAGCCCUUAUACACACAUGCUGUUAUGUUUUAAAAUAAUUUAUGUACUUGACAUUUCCCAGAUUUCACCUCACUUCACCUAACUGUGAUUAUGUAGAAAGAAUGGUGGAUGAUUCCAGUUAAAUAUUGCUACUUCCUUCACUUCCCUACAAGCACACAUCUCUAAGAGAAACUCUAGCUACAGCUUGUGACAACGAUGUAAGUUUUGAUGUAUCCUCAAAGACAACAACAAGAUGGGAGUGAAGGAGGAAACUAUUAGAUGGCUGAAUUUUUGUAUAUUUUGAAGUUAUUAUGUUUUUGUAUUUACCAAAACAGAACAACUGCAAAAAGGCAAGCAGCUAGUGGAAGUGAUCUUUUGAAUCACUGGUGCACAAUUCAAAUUGAUGAGACUGGUGAGUGAAGGAAAAAUAAAGUUGGGGAACAACUUCACUUUGCCUUAGUGAAGGAUGAGAAAAAGAGAAAAAAAUGAAAUAGAGUAAUAGACAAGAAGAGGAGUGAAAGCAGCUUCAGCACAGAAGAGGAUGAAAUUGUGAUAGUAGCUGGCACCCAAUGAGUAGUGAACAUGAUGAAUGGACAGUGAAAGACAACAGAUGAUAGAAUGGUCUGAAGACAGAAGAAAGAAAAGAUGGGGAAUCUAAGGAAGGUGCAGUUAGUAUUAGAAAGAGGACAUGUGUAACUGGAACUUCCUUCUAAAGAAAAAUGGGUAGGCUGUAAUGAGAACAGGUCCAGAAGCUAAGAUAAAAAUUACAGAUUUGUAUUUGAAAACAAUAAUGUUCCAGUGAACAGAAAUAUACAGAUUUCCUAGAAACUUCGGUGGAAAUUCUCCGUUGCCUGAAGAAGGAAGGGCAAAGUUGUGUUGAUCAACAGAUGACUCAAGAGUUGGUGCUUAGAAAAAUGUUGAUGGGUCACUGAGAACACUACAGAGAGAGUGUCUUUCUCAAAGCAUAUGCUCAGACAUAUUAUGCGAUUCAAGUAAGGCCCAUGAAGAAGACAAUUAAGUUGAGAUAGAGCUAUAUUUACAUAUCAUCCAUGCCUAUAUAAACAGAAAGGGGAAGACAUAGGUUGUGAAGGUUCAUCAGAGAAUAUGGCAUAAAGACAGGCAUGUUAGAGCAGCAGUGAUUCUAGACAGACUUCUGGGAUCAGGGGAAAAGUGAGAGACUAGUUAUAAGAAAACAUUUUGUAAACUCCUGAGAAGGAUUAUUCAAGACAGUUGCAAAAGAACAGCAAGGGAUAAAAGAGCCCCUUCCUAUUUUAUGUUCCUAAAUGUUUAUCUAGAUGUUCUCCAACUGUUUCUCUUGAUCCUGACUUACAACUUGUUUUGGUUAACCAUUGUUUUGUCAUGUCAUGCUACUGUUAUGUGCUUUUUAUUGCAGCCAAGUAGUUCUUAAGCAUUUCAGCCUUUCCCAUGUCUCUUGAAACAGGAAGGUAAAACAAAUACAUAGUCACAUGCUUGCCUGUUCUUUUUGUUUCUCAGAAGCUUGUUCUCCUUUAUAAUUUUACUUGCCUUUUUUUUUUUUUUCCUUCCAACCUAUUACUUGGCUAUGACUGGACACUUUAAACCUGACUUUCUGAAAAAACAAGAUGUAUGUGAUUGUGCAUCUGCCACCCCUUUGUUAGGAACUUUGAAUUCACUGGCUUAUUUCAUCCACAUUUGACCAACAGGAAGAGAAGUGAAAAAUACUAAGUUUCUGAAAAAGUACAACUUCAUGUAGGCAUCUGCUAUUGGAAAGAUAAGAUCACUCUUAUCAGAUACCUUAAAACCCACAUGAGAACACAUUCCAUAGGCACAAAUCCAGAAGAAAGCAGGCUUUACUGGUUCAGAUGCUCAAACCCUUCAAAAUUCCUAGGCCCUGUGAUGCGGUUGCACCAGGUGGUGGCACGUAAGAAUUUUAGCCUAGGAGAACUGGUGUUCUCAAGGCAUGUCUGAGAGACCUCACCUGACAGCUGGGUGACUGACUUUAAGUAUUACUGUAAUGCUAGCCUAGAUGUGGUGCAAUGGUGGGACAUUCAAUGAAAACUGCUAGCAUAAAUAAAGCUAUUUCAGUCUCUGUUGUGCUCCAGAUUCUGAGGUUGUUUUCAUUUUUCAGUUUAAGAGAUGUUGCUGUUAUAUCAAUACACUUUUUCAUAUUCUAUUUCCUGGCAAAUCUUGGUCUCAUUGUUCUGUAGUUUCCAAGUUUAAUUAGUCUGAUGGGGCAGAAAACAUGAUGAACGCAGAAAAAAAUAGUCUAAGAAAAACACGUGAAACUUGAGAGCUUUGCUAAACUAAUAGGAUACAUACAUGGAUCAUUCUCGGUCCUGUUUUUAAGUACUGCUGCUCAUCCUCAUCUAAGGGAGUAUCUACAGAAAGCAUGCUAAAAAUUAGCAUAGGCUUUCUCAGCAGUAGUCAAUGAUGAAUAUAUAUCCAAACAGUCUCUGUUCAAAGAGAAAAAUUCAGCUGUUAGUAGGAAAGAGAUCAUGGUGAGAACACAAAUAUUUUAUACUGUUUCUUUCAUAAAAUGCAGUUUUUAAGAGCAUAGGGUAAUUAUAUUGAAGUUAUAUCUUUGGGAAUUUUAUUGUUAUGAAUAAUUUCUUGAAAAUUUGUACCUUCAUUUGCCUAGUAAUGCUGAUGGCCUAAUGCUAGCCACAAGAACUGAUUUUGAAUGCAUUGAUGGUAGAAAUAAUAACAUUAGAGAUGAAGCAUGUUUCCAUUAAACACUGAAAUUUCAGUUAAAUAGCUUUGACUAUAUAUACAACUGAUGAUAACCAGCAAUUAGUUCCUUUCCUAUAGGGAAGAGGCUGAAAGCAGGAAAUGCAGUAUUCAGCAUUUUUCUGUCACACGAAUUCAUUCCAUAUAAACAAUCUAUUUCCUUCUUCUGAUCUAAAAAGCUGCUUUUGUGCAUAAUCACAUAGUGUGCAGCACGUUUAUACUUAUAGGUAAUAGCUGUUAUCCAGAAGAUGGCUCUUUGCAUGUGAAGUGCCCUCAGUGCCUUCAUCCUAAAGAUAAACAAGAUUGAUCAUACAUCUUAGAUUUUGCAACCCUACUUUGUUUGCUACUCCUCCACCAGUUGUGUACUGUUUUCCAUCUGUUGCAACAUCAUGCAUCUGCACUCAAGCGCCUGAUCACUUACAAACACUCUCUAACAGAACCCCAGUGACCCCCUCCUCUCAUAUCUAUUAAUGGCAUCACUUGAAGUUGAACAAAAUUGUCAUCGACUUUGUGACGUGUCCUUGUGAAAGCGAAAUGGAGGUUCACAAAUUUCCUACCUUAUUGCAGUCCUGCAUCUUCCAGACUCCACUUAGAGGAUUUCUCUUACUUCUUUAUUUAUAAACAAUAUGCUCUACACCUGGCUAAUAACUAAUACCUUGUUUUGUUUGUUUGCUUGUUCGUUUCUGAGGACUAAGUCAGGCUGGAUAUGUUAUUGGAAGUAAGUCUUUCUCCAGGAAAUAUCAAGUAACAUUAAAUCUGCAAACAGUUCCACAUCUUAAUACAGUUUUAUAAGCUUCAUGCUAGUGAUUUUCCUGAUGUUGAAAGGUUGCCCAGCUGAAUGAGCACAGCAUUCCCAUCAGCUGCCUGAGUUUGCUCUAGAGCUGAGCCUGCAGAGCAGUGCCGUGUUCUUCCAUUUAGCUCCAAGCCCAUCAUCUCCUUAGCUGCGGAGCUGGCACAGCACUAUGCAGGAAAGCCUCUGGUCAAUGUUUGUAGGCCCCAUGAGGUCCCAGAGAUCAGGCAGGUGCUUUUGUGUAUCCCUGCUGAGCAACAUGAGUGUUUAGCACAUCUCUAUGGGAUGGAGCAGAAGGGCACCCUGGCAGGCUUUCUGUCUCGUUGUCACCCCUACUCACCCACUGUCCUGCAUCUCCAGCUCAAGGAGCUGCUGCUAUUUCUCUCACUCAGCCUCCCUGUCUGCCAAGGCAGCAGGCUUGUAGCAACCCCACAGCCGCAGCCCCUGGGCAAUCAGGAUGUGUGUAGGGCCGCAGAGUUGUGGCUGGGCCCUCUGAAGCCUGUGGGGUGCAGCCUGUGGUGGUGCCAUGGUGGCCAGGCCCUGCCAGGCCUGACCAUCAGCCUCCCUGCUCCUGCCCUGUGGAUGUGGCCAGUCACCAGCUGGGGUGAAACUGUGUUCCUGUGGCCCUGAGGUGUCUUAAAGCAUCACCAGGGCUGUUCAGUCACAUGCAGCACCUCAUCCAUUCUCCUCAACAUAAAUAAAGGCUGAUUCAGAAGCUGCACAGCCGUGAAUGAAACACAGCUGUGUGCUGGGUCCCCUCUCUUAGCUUGUCCCAGAAAUGGGCUGGCCCCACCCAUAAAAGUGCUGACUCGCCUUUACAAAACGAUUUCUGGUGAUUUGGGAACACUGUAGUAGGAAAUACACAGAAGCUAGGAUCCUUUUUUUUUUUUUUUUUUUUUCGUCUUCACUGGUAAUGCCCAGGCUGAAUCAUCACACAACUUCAUGCUUAUUAAAAAAAUAUGCUUUUGUAUCAUCAUACAUCUAGCCUGCAAUAUCAGGCAAAUUUGUUUCUAGUUUGCAUAGUUUUGCACAGUUCCUUUCCUGCUGGUGCCAUUCUUGCCCAUAGUGCUUGCUCUUCUGCUGCACUGGUGUUUGCUGAAGCCCCGGAGCUCACUAAGAGGCUGCACCACCUCUGCAUGGGCUUCAGCUGUGUGAGCUGGCUUCUGGACAUGUCCUCCACUCGUGCACUAGUAAAUAAGCCACAACACAAACUCAGCUUCUCAUGGGCACCAAAUUCGCUGCUAUUACCCUAUCCACAUCAGUAAAUGUGAUAUUUAGCUGACAGUUCUUACUCUCUCACACACAUUUUAUGAAUUUCUGUGGACAUUGCACUUCACUAAUAAGAUGCAUAGCAUUUUGUCUAGAUUGUGGAGAAGCAUUCGUUAAGCUGUUCUAUUUACUGUUCACUCCUCGGGUAGAACUAUGCUGUUCUUGUUCACACAACAUAAUCUAUACAUCCGGGGAGUCCAGCAAUCCCCCGGUGUCCUUUCUUAAGCUAUCGACAUAUUUAAGAAAUUACUAACGUCAUUUUUUGUUGUGUUUUGUAUGCAAAUAUCUCAGUGUGACUUUAAUCACAGUCUUGGCCAAGCAGAGAUUUCCUUCUAGCAUUUUUCAAGGGAAUCCCGUUUCUGUGUUUCUGGUCUUUGUUGGGGCUGGGUGUGGAAACAGCAAGGCAGGCACACUGUAAGGGAGAGCCAGAGGGUGUGCUCCAGAUCUAGGAAGCUGCACAGCAUCAAAGGAAGGGGACGUCUUUCACUGGUUUAAUGGUAAACACACUGGCAGGUCAGAAUAUUUGCCUGCAGAGAGGUCUUGCAGCAAAGACACUUUUUUUUUUUUUUUUUUUUUUUUUUUUUUUUUUUUUUUUUUCCCCUCAUUCAAGUGGCUCUUAGAAGUUCAAAGAAAAAGAAUAAGAGGAUGUACAAAAGAUCACCUCAUUGGACUUGUCAAUUAUUAGAUAUUUUUCAAAGUUUCGAUCAUCUCAAAUGCUCACUCGGGUUCUUGGUAAUGCAGGAGUACUUUUGCAGACAUAGGAACUGAACAAUUUCAUUUUGUUUCUUUGUUGUUUAUUUUCUUCCUUGAAUAAAUACAUUAGAAGCCAGCUGUGAUCGGGUAUGUCCUGAACUGCUACUGCUUCAGCAGCAAGUUACAUAGGUUAGACUCUGAGAUGCCAGUUAAACCAUCUUUGUGACUUUUAAACAAGACAACUCUGAGAUGAACAGCAUUCCAGUAUGUCACAUAGAAUAUAUCCCUUAAAGAGAAUUUAUUUUUUUCUGUGCUGAUAAGUGAAGAUUAGGUGUACUUUUAAAUGAACCUGUAAGACUCGUUUACAUCUCCAUACACAAUAGUGUUGUUAGAAUGAAAGCAGUGCUAAAUUAAGGGAUUAAAAAUAAAUAAACAAAUCCAUAUGCAUUUGCUGAAAAGCAGUCAAUAAGAAGUGUUCUUGAUGUCUGUGCUGCUGUAUAUGCUUACCUGUAAUUUUCCAGAAUUUGAUCAGAAGCUUUCCAGACUGUGCUUUAAUUGGGAAGAAGUACCCAUCAUUGUUCUGGGAGGUACAGAGAUUUGCUGGUAAGCAGGUCAGUGCUCUGAAGAUGCAAGCUUGUUUUACUUAUUUAGGAGAACCAUUUCAUGGGUAAAAACAUUGUGUAAAAGCAUUUUAUGUGAUACAUUAAGUGUAUUUUCCCCAUUAAUUUGAAUUCAAACAAAAUAAUAUUGCACAUAAUUUAUCAGACUCUCCUAAUGUCUCUGUAGUUUGCCAUAGGGAACGACACAACUGUGUGAUGAUGGCAGGAAGUGCAAGCUGGUGUAGGUCUUUUUGUAUUCUGCAGGUCCAUAAUGGAGGCUUCAGCUUUGUUUUUAUUUUCAUGGGUUUUGGGUGUUGUUUUAAUAGUUACCAUUGGCCUCCCAAACCUUUUAGUGAAAUAGGUAAUUGUGUAUGCAUUUUUUUGUCAUUUUCUUGACAAUGUGUAUAAGAUUUGUGUGGGGGAAUAGCUUUUCUACAUAGCUAAUAAUUUAUUAUAUUGUCUUAUGCUGUCUUUUCAGUUUUUUAAAUAACUGUUAUUAUUUCACACUGGAGGGCAUAAAUAUCAUUUUCUGCCUUUUUUCCCCCAUUGUUUGGAGAGUAACUGGACUACCUCAGUUUCAGGUCAGAUAGCAUUUCAUCAGAACAGUGAAAUGACUGUAAGCAUUCAUCCCCAGUGGAUGAAAUUCUAACCUGCAGCAUUUCAGUCUCCCACCUUGAAGAGUGGCAAGACAAUUACUGAGAUCCUUGUAGAUGGGCUUUAAAGCUGGGCAUAAUCCAGCAGUGAACGAAAUGCAUAACCCUCCAAAUCAGUGACAUUUAACCCAACUGCUCGUCAGGCCAGGUGGAAAGACAAAAUUGGCACUCAACUGUUUCCAGCUCACUUUCCUGGUUAGUGCUGCAAACACAGGAAAUAAUUCCGGUGAGCUGAUUUUUGUACACAUGCACAUGCAUGUGCCAACACACUUUAUUCUGUAUUCAAAUUUUCUGUUGUAGAUAAACUUGUAAAGCAUCUGUAUUUCAUUUCAUGCUCACCUUAAAAGCAGUUGUUCUGCCUGUGGAGAGAGCAUUCACCUUUCCCUUUGCCUUUCAUCCUUUCUGGUCUUAUUUGUGCAGUGAAAUUGCAUCACUCAGUUGUGACAUUUCCGUGGUGGAAGCUACACUCAUUUUAACCAAACGAAUAUCCUUCUGAAACAAAACCUGGGUAUAUGUACAUGUCAACAGAUAUGCUCUAUAACUUCUGUAAAGAGAACUGAAUGAUAAAAAUAGCAAAAUAUGUGAAGCAUUUAGGUAGUUCUGAAAUCUACCCUUAAAAAAAGCAAGAGCCAGCAAUCCCUUGUACCAACUUCUUUUAUCUCUUCCAAAGCUAUUUCUCAUUUACUGUAAUGCUUAACAAUCCUAUUUCACAGUGUGCUUUAGAUUCCCAACAACAGAAAAAAAAAUUACUUAAGAAAAAACAACUUGCAAAUCCAAGACCAGGCAUCUAUUUGUGUGCAGUUCUAAAUGAAGCUUCACUAUUUCUUAACUAAUGAGGAUCUUCUCCAUGUGGAAUAAAUUCUUAGUACUUAGCAGCAUUAGUAAUGCUUCAAGAAAAAAAAAAAAAAAAAGUAUUUAAAAUGGUUCAGUUGCCAACUGUCUUCUUUGACUGUCUCGGUAAGACGUUGAAACAGACCUUCUGCUCUAAAUUAAUAAGGCCAAUCUCAACCACACAAAGCCCAGAAUGACCGAUCAUUCUUCUGGUGUCCUCGCUAUCUUUACUGAGGUCAGAUAAAUCACUUUCAAGCUGUUAAAUCAAUGAUCAUAAAUUAGGGCUCUGUUUUUACAGCGCCUUGUGGGAAAUUCUCAUGGUUAAAUUAAUCUAACAGCUGCAGUGAAGAGCACCUCCCACAAGAUCAUGUCAAAAGUUCUCUCUCCCCCCCCCGCUUUUUUUUUUAAAGGGGAAAAAUGCCUGAAUUAUUUGUUUUUACCUAGCGCACAAAAUGGAAUCCCUCGGUCUGUCCCUGCUAAUUCAUGUUUCAAUUGUACCCAGCUGUUUAAAUUGCACUGCGCAGAGAUUGCCUUGAUCCCCAGGUGCUGGUACUCCAUCUGUGCUGCUCCGAGAGACUAUUUACAGCAGAGGUUAGGCCAGCGAUUGCUGGGAUGGAAAACUCAUUUCUCAGCCUGGCUUUUAUUUACACUCUUAUUAAAGAUCCUUUCACUCAUGUUGGAAUGGCAGCUAGUGGCUGCACUGAGCAUUUGGCGUUGAGCCAAGCAGCGAAAUUACCAUGUCGAUGAAAGAUAGCCCGCUUCCAUUUUAACCUUUCGCUGUUCUCCCCUUUCCAUCUAUAUUUGCAUGAAGAAGGAUGAUUAUUGAAAGAGAUAGGGGGACAAAGGGAUGAGAGAAUCCUUGUCAGCUGAGCUUUUCAAGGGAUAAGCCAAUGGUUUGUGACCAAUUUGGAAAAAUCUUUACUGCCUUAUUAAUUUCCUACUCCUUUCCCUUAAUUGCUAUUAGAGUUUAUUUUCACAUGAAGCAACAGAGCUGCUCAUGCUCUGCUUCCUUCCUUCCCCCACUGCUUCCCUGUGCCUUAUGAGCACAACCCUGGGAUAUGUCUGCAAUGUUGAGGUUUCUCCUUCAUCCCCAAUGCAGGUCACACAGAGCCACGGCAACACCCUCAAAAUGCUUUUCCUAUGAAUAUGCCUCUUGGAAAUGAAUCGCCUUCCUGGGAGCAAGGGGCUCGCUGCUCACAGCAUGUCACAUCGCCGGGGAGGGCAGGGGAGGGUGCCUGCACAGUUGGUGGGGGAGGCUGGCGCGUUACAGACCUGGCUGCACUUAAACAAAUGAAAAUAACUGUUUGUCCAGAAAACUCAGCACAUCUGUUCUGGGGAGCAACACGGGAUUGGCAAAAAGCACCAGAAUGCACCUCAGCUGUUGUGAGACAACAACCCACCUUCCUGAGCGCCAGCUACAGCGUGGCACAAUGAGGACAAGAGCCCCAAACCCAUAAGCCACGCUACCAGAUUCCAUUCAUGAGACAGACACACCGUGCACUUCAGUGUAGCCAUGCUGCAGGUUCUUGACUGCUACCAAAGCAGUGCUUUUCUUUCUCUUUACCUUCCUGGACAGCAGGAGAGGAGUCUAUUUUCCAUUUUCCUGGGUAGAAGAGCUGAGCAAUAGCUGUACCAUGAGGUUUACAAGGCUUGGUGUUCUUGCUCUUGAUCCUAUUUUGGAUAGUGAGCAAAUAUUAGCUUUCACAUAUUAAAGAAAAAAAAAAAAGCAAUAUUUUCUGAAGGAUUUAACCUUCUACCUAGAUGCUUGUUAGAUGCUACUAUAUCCUCGAUGCUACUGCUGUUUAGGCACUCAGCCACUCUUUAAACUCACAGGUCGCCAAGAUUUUUCAUCAUUCUUCAUCUCCACCCAUGCCCAGGAGGCUCAAAUGCCUGCUGCUGGCUGGGUGCCAGCAGCUCCGGUGGGACCAAGCACCUAAAAGAUGGAGGGUUUGUUAACAAAAGCACAGAUGUGGACAUGGCUGUAUUCUGGGUAACAGACAGCUAAAAAGGGGGUGUUUGCAGACCACCGCUUUCUUUCAGCCCCCUGGAAGAUGCACAGAGCACAGUUUCCAAUAUCUCCAAAGUUCCUUGCCAUGUUUGUUUCAUACAUACAUGCAGAAAAUUGAAUUCAUAAUUCUAUAUAAAAUAUGUUAUAUAUAAUACAUACAAAUAUAAAUUAUUAUAUAAUUCAUAUAUAACUAUAACAUUAUAUAUAAGUGCUUAUUUACCAGCUCUCAGUCUGUGCCAUUCAGCUAACUUCAGCACUUCGGGUUAGUUGGGUUUUGUCCUUUGCAAUUCCCAACUGACUGAGUGCCUGAGCACCACUCUGCUUUCCCAGGGAAGCCAUCAGCAGAGAAAUUUUGCAGAAGAGGUAGCAGAGGAGCAUUACUUGGACAUUUUACAUAACUGUAAUCUUUUUCUUAUUUUUUAUUUUUUAUUUUGGAGCUAAACAGCCUUUCCCUAAAACACCAUUCUCAGAAAAAUGUAACCACAGAAAGAUUUACUGUCUGAGCAUUGUGUUUAAUAUUUUUCCCAUUCAUAAAAUACUUGUCUGUCUGGACAUGAGACUCAGUAUGAAGGGUGUGUUUUGCUUCUUGUCUGGCUCAUUUGAACUGCUUAUAUGCUAGUGCUCAUGCAGAGAAGGGGGAAGAAUGAUGUCCCAUCUCAUAACAUAUUAUAAAGUCUCAGAUGGAAAAUACAAUUGCAUGACUGCUGGUAGACAACAAGUACUAAGGAGUGUGUGUGCAUGCAUUUAAAGACCACCAAACUAUUUAUUUAUUUGUUCAUUUACUUAUUUAUUUAACUGGGAGCAACAUGAACUUAUUCCUCAGCAAAUGCAGCCUAAGAAGUUUGUUGCUUGUUGUUGGAGUACCUUGUUCUCAGCGAGCUGAGGUACAGUUGACAUUUGGUGACCAGCUUGGGAGAGCUGGAGGAUGAUGAGAAAUGAGACGUUUGGUGCAAUUAGCUGUGGUACCAACCCAGGAACAAAAGUGAACAGGCACAACUCGGGGACAAGAGCAGCUUUCAGAGUCAAGGUCUAACUUGCUUGAGGAUUUAGCAGUUCUCCCAUUUUUGUACAUUCUUUGGCAAUUUCCUACUUAAAUAAUUGGAUCGUCUGCUUCUAGAUCUUGGAGAAAUGCAACUGGAUUUGGCAUCCUCUUGCCUACCCCCAUCCCAUCCCAGUACGUGCUGGGAUAUUGCCCUGUACAGCUGCCACAGCCCACAGCCGCUGAGGCUCUCCAGCUGCAACGGGGUUUGAGAUUAAAAACUGAACUAACCCACAUUUCGGAGCUCUGGAUGGGCAGACACAGACCAAAUUUUGGAAAAGAGCAAAAUGACCGCAGGUGUGCCAGUUGCUUUUACAUCCCUGUCUUUUAUUGAGUAUUAUACUGUACAGCGAAACUGAGGAACAGUUUGUGCUACCUGAUGAAGGGGCUGCCUUGUUAUUUGUCUCUAACAGCUACUUUCAUGGGAAAACAGUGUGUUUUCUUGUAAUUCUACUUCAAUAUCUUGCAAUAUCUCUGUGCUUCUCUUACCUUCCUAAAGAAAAAAAAAAAAAUCAGCAAAAUUCCAUUGUUUUCUGCUUAGUCCCUGAAAAAUUGUAGCACUAACUACAGAAAUAGGUGACAAUUGUCAAAUCAGAAGCCAAAAGCUUCAUCUGAGCUUGUGUGGCUCUUCCAGCCAGCUCUUCAGUUACUGAGAAGCAGUUUCCCUAGAGAACAGUUGGGCUGAAGAACUGGGGCAGCAAGGUUCAAAACGUAGACCCCUCCAAAAUCUACUUAAAACCAUAAAAGUUUUCCUUUUAAAAUAGGAGAAUUCACAUAUUACAUGCAUGUAUGGUUUCAUUUUGAGGUAAUGAGCCACAUUAAGUAAAAUAUAAAAAAGAAAUUGUUUCCCUUUCUGCUGGCUUCCCUUCGGCUAGCAGUGGUUUCUGCGUUGCUGGUGAGCAUCAGCUGCCACGGGAGACGAGAGGUGGAGGGAGGUGAAGAGCCAAAGGCUCAGUGGUUCUUCCAAAACAACAGCUACCUGCUCCACAAUGUUUUAAGUUAAAGAGGAGCAUGGUAAGGAGAAGGAAGGAAAAAUACCACCAAUAGGAAAAUUGAACCAGAUGGAUGCUAUGCUGUUGUAGAGCCUGUAGGGAAUUGCCUUGACUUACCACAGACAAGAAAAAAAAUAAUAAAAUAAAAUAAAAAACCACACACACACAAAAAACACACACACACACAGUGAUAAAUCCAGGGUUGAGUGUUGGGUUUAGGGGUGAUACCACAUCAUUAUGGACAGUUGUAGAGCUGCCUUUACAGAACACCAUGAAGGAUUGCCUUCUAUUGCUUAAGGGAAUGACUGCUCAGGAGUAAAGGUCAGGGACAUUUUGACUCUUUAGAGACUGAGAUAUUACGCAGUAAUACGCCCAAGAAAAACAAUGCCAUUCUAAUCUUAGGUGGCCUAAAAUUCAUGAGGGUUUAGAGAUCUCAUCAGUCUAUGCAUCUAAAUAAUCAGUCUUAAAUUAGCCGCAGGAAAGAUCUAAUUAUUUUUUCUACUGCAGCUUCCUCCCUUUCCCCUUAGUAUUUUGUGGCAGAGUGCUGAAGAAUAUUCCUGCAGCUUCAAAUUCAUGAUUAAUUAUUCUUAAAUUAUUAAACAGGAGUCUCUGAAUCAUCCUUUCUUUAUCUACCUGUAGACACAUUUUGUCUACCUUGAUCGUAUGCCUUUUAUUAACCUUGUCCUCAAAGCACAAUAUUUCCUCGAGUCAUUGUAUCUACCUAAAAAGUUGUGCCAUCCUCUGUUCUGCAAAGUGAAAGAACCUUUUUUUUUAUUUUUAAAGAAAAAAAAAAAGAAAUCCUUCAUCUUUCCUUCUAACAAGAACAGGAUGUGCAGUAACUUUGGUUUACAUAAGCAUUCCUGGAAAGCACGAGUGUGACUCUGGAAUCAAUAAAAGCUGCAGUGUAAGAGUAUAAAGAAGUAAACUUUUUUGUGAAGGUACGUGGCUGUGCAGGGGUACGUUAAGAAGACAAAACUUCAGGCCUCUGUUUUACAGCAACUGCACAAAAUACAUGUACAAUAAAUUACUGGGACUGUUCCCUUCGAUAGCUUUAGGUAAUGAAGUGCAUUCAGUAUAAGAAUAUGAAAGUAUUAUUGCACUUUCUGCAUACAGGGAGUACGGAAACUGAUGUCCACGUCUGAGGAGUUGUAUCUAUUACCUAGAAAUGAAAAUAACGAGCCUUACUUGAGCUACAGUCUUACACAAUUUAGGGUGUAAGAGACGCAAAAGCAAUGGCGCAAUGCAGAGCGUGCUCCUUUAGGCUCACUUGGCAUGGGACAGCACCCUGUCACUGCACACUACCGACACUGAUUUAUUCACCUUGCACUAGUGAGGCUGGCAAAGCUACUCCAAAGUAUAUUUGCACCGUAAUUUUAAACCUGACUCAGUGGUCUGAGUACAGUAGUAAACUGUAGAACUUGGAGGAGAGUAAGAAGAACCAGACUGAAAAGAAGAAAUCCGUCAUCCCUGCACUGUUAUGCUCAGUUAACACACUGCGCACAGGCAGCAUUUUAAAAAGGGGGGUGACACUGGCAGCAGAGAACAAAUGUUUUCACUGCUCUUCUACUGAGUUUGAAGUAAAAUAAGAACGGGGAGUAGUAGUAGUGCUACAAGGCAACACCUGAAGAGGCAAACAGCAAAUUGCACACUCAGCUCUCAUCCCUGUGCUACAGAAGGAUGUUGCCCGUGGCUGUGCUGGUACAGUGCAAAGAGGCAGGUGUUACCUGUCAGCUACAUCUUCGGUUGCUGAAUUACCAUAAAGACUUGCUUCGAUGGAAUCAAUGAAUCAGCUUUGGUUUCACUCUAAUAAAAACUUUGGAGUGGAAUUUGAGACAGUGAUUCCUGAGAAACUGGGGAGGAAAACCAUAUCCCAACUGCGCUGUCAUUUCAGAACUUGCACCCAAUUUUUCAUACCACAGACAGCGGAGAGCUGAGCACUUUGCAUAGCUCUUCAUUGAGUCAAACACAGCAGCUGGCAACCUGAGCCAUGAAUCAUAACCUAAAAGCAGCGUGCAGCUCACAGGGCUCUCCUACAGCCGGACUCCUCUGGAUCACCCCACACACUGAGGCACUUCUCAGGGAUCUACUUCAUUAGAUCUGGUGUGAGACCUCUCGUCAGGGACUCGGCCUUUCCCUGGUAAAACAGUGUGUGCUGCUUGUCUGUACUGCAUGAUUAAUACACAAGGAGACUCAGGUACUCUUCAGGACAUUCAGAAUAAUAAUGGUUAUAGAUAUAGAUGUAUAUAUAUAUAAUUUAAAAUUUUAUUUAAAAUUUUACGCAUACACUUCUUCAGCAUCCUCCUCUUUUUUUUUUUCAUUGCACUGAAAAGUUUCAAAAAACACAAAAUAUAUCCCUUUACUAAACAUUUUUUUUUGUUCUUCGGUUACAAAAAGAUUAACAUUUCACAGUCACAAAGCAUAAGUACAUUGGUCCAAAACAUCUUCCUCCAGCAGGUCCUCCAUUCCUCAGGACAUAUAAAACCUAGAGAGUUUUACAGGUCUCAAAAUAAGAUGACUUGUCCAAUGAAGGGAAGAAAACAGUGACGGCUAUUAAAAAAAAUCCCAAACCGAAAUAAGAUACCUAUGAAAGAACAUCACCAGCAACAGUUAAAAAAUAUAAAGAAAAAAAAUAAUAAUAAAAAAAUGAGACCGGAGGCGGGCAAGGGCAUCCUCCUUCAAGUACGUCACAGGUAGAAAUACAGCAGCACGGUUACAGCAUGGUUUGGUCACGCUCUAUGGCAGCCACAUCACUACGUCUGCAUCUAAGACACGUGGAGGAAAACUAUUUACACACCGAGAAUGUCGGGGAGGAACAACAAUUCUGUAGAGUUUGCAGCUCCUGUUUGAUACAAGUGUUGAAAUUAUUUGCACAUGAGAUUAAAAAAAAAAAAAAAA